rnacentral:rRNA from 1 species
GAGUUUGAUCCUGGCUCAGAUUGAACGCUGGCGGCGUGCCUAACACAUGCAAGUCGAGCGGUAACAGGUGUAGCAAUACAUGCUGACGAGCGGCGGACGGGUGAGCAAUGUUUGGGAAUCUGCCUAUUAGUGGGGGACAACCCGGGGAAACUCGGGCUAAUACCGCAUACGCACUACGGUGGAAAGCCGGGGACCGCAAGGCCUGGCGCUAAUAGAUGAGCCCAAAUCGGAUUAGCUAGUUGGUGGGGUAACGGCCCACCAAGGCGACGAUCCGUAGCUGGUCUGAGAGGACGACCAGCCACACCGGAACUGAGACACGGUCCGGACUCCUACGGGAGGCAGCAGUGGGGAAUAUUGGACAAUGGGCGAAAGCCUGAUCCAGCGACGCCGCGUGGGUGAAGAAGGCCUGCGGGUUGUAAAGCCCUUUCGGUGGGGAAGAAAAGCCUCGUUCUAACACAACGGGGUCUUGACGUAACCCAUAGAAGAAGCACCGGCUAACUCUGUGCCAGCAGCCGCGGUAAUACAGAGGGUGCGAGCGUUAAUCGGAAUUACUGGGCGUAAAGCGCGCGUAGGCGGCUUUGCAAGUCGGGUGUGAAAUCCCCAGGCUUAACCUGGGAACUGCAUUCGAGACUGCAUUGCUAGAGUAUGGGAGAGGGAAGUGGAAUUUCCGGUGUAGCGGUGAAAUGCGUAGAUAUCGGAAGGAACAUCAGUGGCGAAAGCGACUUCCUGGACCAAUACUGACGCUCAUGUGCGAAAGCGUGGGGAGCAAACAGGAUUAGAUACCCUGGUAGUCCACGCCG